AUUGAACGCUGGCGGCAUGCCUUACACAUGCAAGUCGAACGGCAGCACGGGUGCUUGCACCUGGUGGCGAGUGGCGAACGGGUGAGUAAUACAUCGGAACAUGUCCUGUAGUGGUGGAUAGCCCGGCGAAAGCCGGAUUAAUACCGCAUACGAUCUACGGAUGAAAGCGGGGGACCUUCGUGCCUCGCGCUAUAGGGUUGGCCGAUGGCUGAUUAGCUAGUUGGUGGGGUAAAGGCCUACCAAGGCGACGAUCAGUAGCUGGUCUGAGAGGACGACCAGCCACACUGGGACUGAGACACGGCCCAGACUCCUACGGGAGGCAGCAGUGGGGAAUUUUGGACAAUGGGCGAAAGCCUGAUCCAGCAAUGCCGCGUGUGUGAAGAAGGCCUUCGGGUUGUAAAGCACUUUUGUCCGGAAAGAAAUCCUUGGCCCUAAUACGGUCGGGGGAUGACGGUACCGGAAGAAUAAGCACCGGCUAACUACGUG
rnacentral:rRNA from 1 species